AGUGAACGCUGGCGGUAGGCCUAACACAUGCAAGUCGAACGGCAGCACAGUAAGAGCUUGCUCUUACGGGUGGCGAGUGGCGGACGGGUGAUGAAUACAUCGGAAUCUACUUUUUCGUGGGUGAUAACGUAGGGAAACUUACGCUAAUACCGCAUACGACCUACGGGUGAAAGCAUGGGAUCUUCGGACCUUGCGCGAUUGGAUGAGCCGAUGUCGGAUUAGCUAGUUGGCGGGGUAAAGGCCCACCAAGGCGACGAUCCGUAGCUGGUCUGAGAGGAUGAUCAGCCAAACUGGAACUGAGACACGGUCCAGACCCCUACGGGAGGCAGCAGUGGGGAAUAUUGGACAAUGGGCGCAAGCCUGAUCCAGCCAUACCGCGUGGGUGAAGAAGGCCUUCGGGUUGUAAAGCCCUUUUGUUGGGAAAGAAAAGCAGCAGGUUAAUACCCCGCUGUUCUGACGGUACCAAAAGAAUAAGAACCGGCUAACUUCGU
rnacentral:rRNA from 1 species